CCUACGGGAGGCAGUAGUGGGGAAUAUUGCACAAUGGGCGCAAGCCUGAUGCAGCCAUGCCGCGUGUGUGAAGAAGGCCUUCGGGUUGUAAAGCACUUUCAGCGGGGAGGAAGGCGUUAAGGUUAAUAACCUUGGCGAUUGACGUUACCCGCAGAAGAAGCACCGGCUAACUCCGUGCUAGCAGCCGAGGUAAUACGGAGGGUGCAAGCGUUAAUCGGAAUUACUGGGCGUAAAGCGCACGCAGGCGGUCUGUCAAGUCGGAUGUGAAAUCCCCGGGCUCAACCUGGGAACUGCAUUCGAAACUGGCAGGCUAGAGUCUUGUAGAGGGGGGUAGAAUUCCAGGUGUAGCGGUGAAAUGCGUAGAGAUCUGGAGGAAUACCGGUGGCGAAGGCGGCCCCCUGGACAAAGACUGACGCUCAGGUGCGAAAGCGUGGGGAGCAAACAGGAUUAGAUACCCGAGUAGUC
rnacentral:rRNA from 1 species